GUGCCAGCAGCCGCGGUAAUACAGAGACUGCAAGCGUUAUUCGGAUUCACUGGGCGUAAAGGGUGCGCAGGCGGUUGGGUGUGUCAGAUGUGAAAUCCCGAGGCUCAACCUCGGAACUGCGUCUGAAACUACUCGACUAGAGUACUGGAGAGGGUAACGGAAUUCACGGUGUAGCAGUGAAAUGCGUAGAUAUCGUGAGGAACACCAGAGGCGAAGGCGGUUACCUGGACAGUUACUGACGCUCAGGCACGAAAGCAUGGGGAGCAAAAGGGAUUAGAAACCCCCGUAGUCC
rnacentral:rRNA from 1 species